rnacentral:rRNA from 1 species
UACAGAGGGGGCAAGCGUUAUUCGGAAUUAUUGGGCGUAAAGGGCGCGUAGGCGGCUUGGCGAGUGGAUGGUGAAAUCCCUCGGCUUAACCGAGGAACUGCCGUCCAAACUGCUUCGCUUGAGACCGGGAGAGGUGAGUGGAAUUCCCAGUGUAGCGGUGAAAUGCGUAGAUAUUGGGAGGAACACCAGUGGCGAAGGCGGCUCACUGGACCGGUACUGACGCUGAUGCGCGAAAGCGUGGGGAGCAAACGGG